UGGGGAAUCUUCCGCAAUGGACGAAAGUCUGACGGAGCAACGCCGCGUGUAUGAUGAAGGUCUUCGGAUUGUAAAGUACUGUCAUUGGGGAAGAACGGUUUUCUUGAGAAUAUUGAGAAGACAUGACGGUACCCAAGGAGGAAGCCCCGGCUAACUACGUGCCAGCAGCCGCGGUAAUACGUAGGGGGCAAGCGUUGUCCGGAAAUUAUUGGGCGUAAAGGGCGCGUAGGCGGGCCUUUAAGUCCGGUGUGAAAGAUCAGGGGCUCAACCCUGAGAGUGCAUCGGAAACUGGAGGCCUUGAGGACAGGAGAGGAAAGUGGAAUUCCACGUGUAGCGGUGAAAUGCGUAGAUAUGUGGAGGAACACCAGUGGCGAAAGGCGACUUUCUGGACUGUAACUGACGCUGAGGCGCGAAAGCGUGGGGAGCAAACAGGAUUAGAUACCCUGGUAGUCCACGCCGUAAAACGAUGAGUGCU
rnacentral:rRNA from 1 species